UUACCCUAGGGGCAAGGGAAGCAAAUAGGUGCCCUCUCCUAUGCUACCAGGGACCAGAUGAUAGUUCUCAUUCUCGUUCCCAUGAGAAAGAGAAACUACAGGCUGCCUGGGAUGG